rnacentral:rRNA from 1 species
UCUACGGGGUGCAGCAGUGGGGAAUAUUGGACAAUGGGCGAAAGCCUGAUCCAGCCAUGCCGCGUGUGUGAAGAAGGCCUUCGGGUUGUAAAGCACUUUCAGUGGGGAAGAAAGCCUUGGGGCUAAUACCCUCGAGGAAAGACAUCACCCACAGAAGAAGCACCGGCUAACUCCGUGCCAGCAGCCGCGGUAAUACGGAGGGUGCGAGCGUUAAUCGGAAUUACUGGGCGUAAAGCGCGCGUAGGCGGUCUGAUAAGCCGGUUGUGAAAGCCCCGGGCUCAACCUGGGAACGGCAUCCGGAACUGUCAGGCUAGAGUGCAGGAGAGGAAGGUAGAAUUCCCGGUGUAGCGGUGAAAUGCGUAGAGAUCGGGAGGAAUACCAGUGGCGAAGGCGGCCUUCUGGACUGACACUGACGCUGAGGUGCGAAAGCGUGGGUAGCAAACAGGAUUAGAUACCCCAGUAGUC